GAGCUGACAGUGUUAUCCUUAGUAGGUCUGCUGGGCUCCUCCUGGGGGCUGGGGCCAUGUUCUGUGUCUUUCAGAGAUGUUGACUCACUUAAAAGAAGAGCGAGGAGGACGUUUGCAGUAUUGCUCCUAUCAGCCCAGGGGAGCUCACAAGACUCACCCAGUGGAAAUUGCUGCUGUCUGCCUGUCAGAGGACAUGCCCCAAAGUGGCAAGAUCAUUUGGAUGCUCCUCUGCCCCAAGCUGCUGCAGUUGAGAGCUUCCUAGGGGAUGGAGGUGCAGCUCAUCUCAAGUCCUUGCACUCGUCCAACAUGAAGUCUCACCACAUGUAUGUACACCCCGUGCUAGAUAGCAGAAGCAAGAAUGGCCAUCCAGGCACGCGGUGGCUGGCAGGAAUUUAUUGGGACUGAGAUGGAUGGAGUCUGGUGUGGCAACAGUGUGGUCCUAUGCAUGCUUGUGCUGCAGGGCAGGGGCAGUGGUGCUGGUUCGGCUGAGAGCAGGGCAUGACUAACAGGGGAGUUGCCUGCCUGCUUCUCACUCAGUAGCAGCUGCCCCUGGGGAAUGCAUUACAACGGAGAACUGGAAGAGACCCAGCACUGACCUCAGAGGCAAAUCUAUCUGACCUGCUGUUGGCAACAGAAAGGCAGGGAGGCUCUCCAGGUAACUGCUAACAAGCAGGCUUUCAUGGACAAAGGCAUCAAUGUUUUGCCAGCCUUUAGAAUUAGAGGAAGGAAAGAGACACUUUGCUUUGCAAGCAGCAGCAUGCAAGAAGCUUAGUGCAAAAAAAGAGAGAGGAAAAGUCCAUCUCCAUUACUUAUUGUGCAUGGGUAGAUGUGGGCUGAGGAGUCUAUGACUGCUCCCUGGUGCCUCGCCAUCCUCUUCAGCCAAUUUCAUCUGUGACCUCGGUUGGUGACAGCUAUAGUUCCGGCCCUGCCUGAUCUCAAUUAACUUCUCUCUGGCCACGCUGCAGUUCAAGACAGUAUGAUUCAUGCUUAAGUCAAGGAGUUAUUCAAUAAAAGGUAAAAAUGUGUUAAGACUUUCGUUGGCUUUGUGUAUGUCAAGGCCAGCCCCACACCAGCUAAGCAGCCUAGAUUCUAUAGAGGUAGCAUUUGCCUAAGGUGGAUUGAUGUUUAAACUUCUGCUUUGCCUUUCCAUG
ensembl:lncRNA